rnacentral:rRNA from 1 species
GAUGAACGCUAGCGGCAGGCUUAACACAUGCAAGUCGAGGGGUAUAGUAGCAAUACUAGAGACCGGCGCACGGGUGCGUAACGCGUAUGCAACCUACCUUUUACAGAGGGAUAGCCCAGAGAAAUUUGGAUUAAUACCUCAUAGUAUAUGUUUUUCGCAUGUUAGACAUAUUAAAGUUCCAACGGUAAAAGAUGGGCAUGCAUCCUAUUAGCUAGAUGGUAAGGUAACGGCUUACCAUGGCAACGAUAGGUAGGGGUCCUGAGAGGGAGAUCCCCCACACUGGUACUGAGACACGGACCAGACUCCUACGGGAGGCAGCAGUGAGGAAUAUUGGACAAUGGGCGCAAGCCUGAUCCAGCCAUGCCGCGUGCAGGAAGACGGUCCUAUGGAUUGUAAACUGCUUUUGUACGGGAAGAAACACUCCCUCGUGAGGGAGCUUGACGGUACCGUAAGAAUAAGGAUCGGCUAACUCCGUGCCAGCAGCCGCGGUAACAC